AAGAUUUUAAGUUAAAUAAACUGUAAGCCUUCAAAGCUUAAAAUAAAAAUGAUUUUUUAAAUCUUG
rnacentral:tRNA from 4 species